rnacentral:rRNA from 1 species
AUUGAACGCUGGCGGCAGGCUUAACACAUGCAAGUCGAGCGGUAACAGAGAGUAGCUUGCUACUUUGCUGACGAGCGGCGGACGGGUGAGUAACGCGUAGGAAUCUACCUGGUAGUGGGGGAUAGCCCAGAGAAAUUUGGAUUAAUACCGCAUACGCCCUACGGGGGAAAGGAGGGGAUCUUCGGACCUUUCGCUAUCAGAUGAGCCUGCUUGAGAUUAGCUUGUUGGUGAGGUAAAGGCUCACCAAGGCGACGAUCUAUAGCUGGUCUGAGAGGAUGAUCAGCCACACUGGGAAUGAGACACGGCCCAGACUCCUACGGGAGGCAGCAGUGGGGAAUAUUGCACAAUGGGCGCAAGCCUGAUGCAGCCAUGCCGCGUGUGGAAGAAGGCCUUCGGGUUGUAAAGCACUUUCAGUUGUGAGGAAAGGUU